UGUAUGUAUGUGUAGCUACUGUGAAUUAUCAUUGUUAGUAAGAUUUAUUCGGUUACAUGGUAAUGAUUACGUGUUAAGGUUACGGGUUUAUAAAUUAUAGGAAUAUUAGUGAGAAUGAUUAUAUUAUUUUUUUAAGUUUUGAAUUAAAAUGGGAAUUGCGUUUACGAUUUAUAUUAAUUUUUUGGUUUAUGAGAUUGAAAUAUUUGAAGAUUGAUUUUAGAGGGGUGAGAGAAUUUAUUAUUUUUU